CAGUAGCCACGGUAAUACGUAGGGGGCAAGCGUUAUCCGGAUUUACUGGGUGUAAAGGGAGCGCAGACGGCAGUGCAAGUCUGAAGUGAAAGGCGUGGGCUCAACCCAUGAACUGCUUUGGAAACUGUAUAGCUUGAGUGUCGGAGGGGUAAGCGGAAUUCCUAGUGUAGCGGUGAAAUGCGUAGAUAUUAGGAGGAACACCGGAGGCGAAGGCGGCUUACUGGACGACAACUGACGUUGAGGCUCGAAGGCGUGGGGAGCAAACAGGAUUAGAUACCCCAGUAGUCCCUGUCUCUUAUAC
rnacentral:rRNA from 1 species